CACCAUCCUCAAACUGCUGCUUUUCCAAGUCUCCUGAUCCAACAUGCCUUGGCUAAGUCUAAAUGGGGUUUUUGUGGAUAGAACAAGAUACAGUAGAAGCAGGUCAAGCAUUUCCCUGGGUUAAAACACAGCCAUCGAGGAAGCCGAUGGGAGGUGCUGAUUCCAAAAGCCAAGGAAGAAGGACCAUUCACAGAAGCAGCAUCACACAACCAGCAAGGAGAGCUGCUUGUGCAUUCAGGAACAGAAGCCCCCAGUGAGGCUUCAAGGGACUCCAGAGCAGGAAAAACCUGGAGGAACUAGACAGCAGGAUGAACUGUGUCCC
rnacentral:lncRNA from 1 species